ensembl:lncRNA
GAUGCGUAGAGCCGGCUUCAUGGCACCUGGCUUGAUGCUCAACCUAGCCUGGCCGAUACGAGGAGCUGGAAUGUACCUCACCGGGCUAAGCACGCUCCACCACAUAACACGGUGCCUGACCAGUACGACGCCCUUUCUCACUCCGGUAAGCACGGGAAGCUGGUGCAGGACUCCUACCUGCCUUAGCCACACUCCCCGUGUGCCCUCCCCCAAAACCCUCCCCCAAUACAUUUUUGGGGCUGCCUCUCGGGCUUCCUACCGCGCCGCCGUGCUGACUCCAUUCGCCGGUAUCCCUCCUCACACUGCUCCAGAGAAUCCCAGGCGGGCUCUGUUACUCUCCCUUGGUCGGCAGCCCACCUGUUAAUCUCCUCCCAAGUAGUGACCUCGUCCAGAUCUCGCUCCCAAGUCCAUAAGUCCUGAUUACGCUGCUCCUGCUGCCGCUGCCUGUCACCACGCUGCUUGGACCUGUUGUGGUGGGUGAUUCUGUCACGAUCGUCGUAAGAAGCGGACCAAAAUGCAACGUGCAUAAAGUACUCUGCAGCCACUUAGUGUAGUCCGGACAACAGGUGAGGCCACACACACAGAUUCCUGUUGAACACUGUCCCUGAGAGAGGCUGGACUGAGGGCUUGUAGGCUUGUUGUAAG